GAUGAACGCUGGCGGCGUGCCUAAUACAUGCAAGUCGAACGCAUUGAGAGAAGUGCUUGCACAUUUCAAUUUGAGUGGCGAACGGGUGAGUAACACGUGGGCAACCUACCUGAUAGCGGGGGAUAACGAGUGGAAACAUUCGCUAAUACCGCAUAACAAUAGAGAAGGCAUCUUCUUUAUUUAAAAGGCGCUUUCAAGCGUCACUAUCAGAUGGGCCCGCGGUGCAUUAGUUAGUUGGUGGGGUGAAGGCCUACCAAGACGAUGAUGCAUAGCCGAGUUGAGUGACUGAUCGGCCACAUUGGGACUGAGACACGGCCCAAACUCCUACGGGAGGCUGCAGUAGGGAAUCUUCCACAAUGGACGAAAGUCUGAUGGAGCAACGCCGCGUGUGUGAUGAAGGCUUUCGGGUCGUAAAGCACUGUUGUAUGGGAAGAAAUGCUAGGCUAGGAAAUGAGCUUAGUUUGACGGUACCAUACCAGAAAGGGACGGCUAAAUACGUGCCAGCCGCCGCGGUAA
rnacentral:rRNA from 1 species